GCGCCCUUAGCUCAGCUGGAUAGAGCAACGCCCUUCUAAGGCGUGGGUCGCAGGUUCGAAUCCUGCAGGGCGCG
rfam:Colwellia sp. 39_35_sub15_T18 BD02T18sub15_scaffold_2, whole genome shotgun sequence.